UACGUAGGAGGCAAACGUUAUUCGGAUUUACUGGGCGUAAAGCGGGCGUAGACGGCUUCUUAAGUCGGGUGUGAAAUCUCCUGACUCAAUUAGGAGAGGUCAUUCGAUACUAAGGGGCUGGAGGACGGUAGAGGAAAGCGGAACUCCCGGUGUAGCGGUGAUAUGCGUAGAUAUCGGGAGGAACACCAGUGGCGAAGGCGGCUUUCUAGGCCGUUCCUGACGUUGAGGCCCAAAAGCGUGGGGAGCGAAACGG
rnacentral:rRNA from 1 species